GACGAACGCUGGCGGCGUGCCUAAUACAUGCAAGUUGAGCGCUGAAGGUUGGUACUUGUACCAACUGGAUGAGCAGCGAACGGGUGAGUAGCGCGUGGGGAAUCUGCCUUUGAGCGGGGGACAACAUUUGGAAACGAAUGCUAAUACCGCAUAAAAACUUUAAACACAAGUUUUAAGUUUGAAAGAUGCAAUUGCAUCACUCAAAGAUGACCCCGCGUUGUAUUAGCUAGUUGGUGAGGUAAAGGCUCACCAAGGCGAUGAUACAUAGCCGACCUGAGAGGGUGAUCGGCCACAUUGGGACUGAGACACGGCCCAAACUCCUACGGGAGGCAGCAGUAGGGAAUCUUCGGCAAUGGACGCAAGUCUGACCGAGCAACGCCGCGUGAGUGAAGAAGGUUUUCGGAUCGUAAAACUCUGUUGGUAGAGAAGAACGUUGGUGAGAGUGGAAAGCUCAUCAAGUGACGGUAACUACCCAGAAAGGGACGGCUAACUACGUG
rnacentral:rRNA from 1 species